CACAGGUGGCAGCGGGGGCGCGGGCGGGGGGUGUAGGCGGCGUCGGCGGCGCCCGGGGCCUGAGGAGGCGUCGUCGCCUCGGGCUUCGCCGGGGGAGUGCCUCGGGGCCGGUGCGCCGCCGGCCGCUCCCUCACCGCUGCUGACGGGAACCGGUGGGACCUGCUGCCUGGAAAGUGUAAGGUGCUCAGAAGUUCUCCAGCGCGCGCCUGAGGUGGCAGUUUAUAUAAAGGAAGCACUGGGACUUGUGGCCACACCUUUCA
rnacentral:lncRNA from 1 species